UUUAGCUAUAUUGAAUUUCCCUUGAUCUGCGAGCAACCAUGGCAACAGUAUACAACUUUUCCGGAAAAGAAACUUUGACCUUUUUUCCCUCAACCAAUGACUGAGAUUCAGACCGUGCUGUAGUUGCCGGUGAACAGAUCAGCAUUGUUUCACGAUUUGUUAUGUGCGUGCAAUACUUCAACUAGCGAGCAAAAAGGAAAGCGCUACCUUUGUGCUUUAUUGUUGAACGGGCAGCUGGUAAGGUCUUUUGCCAAGGUAAAUGGAACAUAUUUGAAGAGUUAUUUCUGAGAUGAGUGGGAUAAGAAGAGGGGGCAAGCCCAACAGAGGAGGAGGCAGGUUUAACAAGCCCAGAGGAGGUGGAGGAAGAGGAAGAAGUAGAGGCGGAGG